rnacentral:lncRNA from 1 species
AAAAUUCUAUUCCAUACAAAUUCAACUCAAUAACAUUCAUUCAAUACAAAAUUCAUUACAUGAUCCCAUUCACACAUUAAGAAGUCCUGCAAGUAGUUCAACAUAAUCCAACCAUCAAUUCAAAAUCUAAAUUCCUAAGUCAGCUGCAACAUCUUCCAAGCAAUAGCUCGUGACAAGAAACUCAGCAAAACGCAUGACCCACACUUAGCCAUGUACAUCAAUGCAUUCAACCGGCAAAACUCAACCAACAUAAUGCACCAAGUCAGAUUCGUUUCCAAUUCCUAGUUUGUUUGGAAUCAUGACACUUCAUUGUUUUUCUAUUCUUGAAUUUAGACCUCUUAUUUUCA